UUUUUUGUUUUUAUUUUCUUUUAUGAUGGGGGGAGGGCAGGAGGAGUAUUUGAGAUAUAUACACACAUAUACAUACACACCAAGAAAAAGACAAGGCCACAUGAGUACACAAGAAGAAGGCUGCAGGGAUCCCUGAGUGGCUCAGCGGUUUGGCACCUGCCUUCGGCCCAGGGCAUGAUCCAUGAUCCUGGAGUCCCAGGAUCAAGUCCUGCAUCGGGCUCGCUGCAUGGAGCCUGCUUCUCCCUCUGCCUGUGUCUCUGCCUCUCUCUCUCUCUCCCUCUCUCUCUCUCUCUCUCUCUCUGUCCCUCAUGAAUAAAUAAAUAAAAUCUUGAAGAAGAAGAAGAAGAAGAAGAAGAAGAAGAAGAAGAAGAAGAAGAAGAAGAAGAAGAAGAAGAAGAAGAAGAAGAAGAAGAAGAAGAAGAAGAAGAAGAAAGAAAGAAAGAAAGAAAGAAAGAAAGAAAGAAAGAAAGAAAGAAAGAAAGAAAGAAAGAAAGGAGAAAGAAGAAAGAAGAAGGCUGCCAUCUGCAAGCCAGGAAGAGAGCCUUCAUCAGAUACCCAACCCUGCUGGAUCCUGAUCUUUGCCUUUCCCACUUCCUAAACUAUGAGAAAACAAAUUUGUUGUUUACAUCACUUGGCCUACUUUAUUUUGUUAUAGCAGCCUAAGCCGACUAAUACAAAAGGAAACAAAGCAGGUGGAGAAGGAUGGGAAGUGGAUCUAAGGAGGCAAGCAGACAACACCCAGCAUGCUCAGAUGUAUUUCACAAAUAAAAGUUAUUACUAGUAUGACUCAAAGUAUGAAUUGGUUGAUAUUCAAAUUAUUAAUUCAGUCAGAAAAUGUUAUUGCUAAAUAUGUUUAUGUACUGAGUUUCUUUUAGCCACCUAAGGAUAGAAGGCCUCCUCAAAUAUGUUUGCCAGCUUGCACACACCAUUAAUAAAGAAGCAAAACAUUUUAAAGGAGUUGGCAAAGCAAAUGUUCUUUUGUGGUCCAGUAGUAUUAUGGCUUUAAAAAAAUUUUUUUAGGGAUCCCUGGGUGGCACAGUGGUUUGGCGCCUGCCUUUGGCCCAGGGCUCGAUCCUGGAGACCCGGGAUCGAAUCCCACGUCGGGCUCCCGGUGCAUGGAGCCUGCUUCUCCCUCUGCCUGUGUCUCUGCCUCUCUCUCUCUCUCUCUGUGUGUGACUAUCAUAAAUAAAUAAAAAUUAAAAAAAAAAAAUUUUUUUUAUAUUUACUUUCUGAAUGAGAUUAGUAUUUUGUAGUAGACUGCCAUGGUUUCAGGAUCCAUACAUUUACCCUAAAUAGGAUGCUUCAGUCCGGAGGCAUAAAAAAUGAGAAAAAUCAUGACAUUGUCAGACUACAUUAAUUUCACAAUUACAUAAUUAAAUCCCUGAAGCCAAUGGAAAGACUUAAAAUUUUACAUCAUAUGGCUUAGCUCUCUAAUAUGUGAAUUUAUAGAAGCCCUGGGCCAGAUAAAAUGUCACAGAUUUAUUAGGAGAUAUAAAACCAUUAUCAGGAAAAGAAGUUCAAUAAAGUUUCUUUAAAGUUUUUUUUUUAUAAGAUGGAGCACCUGGGUGGCCAGUCAGUUAAGCAUCUGACUCUUAAUUUCAGCUCACCUCAUGAUCUCAGGGUCAUGGGAUUGAGCCCUGCACUGGGAUCCUGCUCACUGUAGAGUCUGCUUGAGAUUCUCUCUCCUCCUUUCUCUGCCCCUCCCCCUGCUCGUGCUCUGAAUAAAUAUAUAAAUAAAACCUUUUUUAAAAAUGCUUUUGAAAAGUUUUGUUAAUAUGAAGUGUCCAUAUGAAACAGAUCAUCACAAACAACCUAGCCAGCUCUAAUAAACUGAUACUUUUGAGAAAAGGAAAAUCACCACAAUUUCUAAUUAAAGCUCUUGAAGUAGCAGAAAAAAAGAAUGCUGACUUCAGAUGUCUGCGAGGUAACUGCUCUACCUUACACCCUUAAAAAAAGUGUCUUUCCUUACAACUUAAAAGCAAGAAAACAAAUCAGGAAAUUUUAAACUUUAAUGAUGCUUUAAAUUUAUCUAUUUAAAAAGGCCUUUCAAAAAUAUUUUUCCUCCAGAUGCUCUUUCACAAAACUCUCAAAAAUAUAUUAUCAUGUUUAUUAUCUGCAGGGAAAGGAUGACAAAUACAGUUUAAUAAACAACUACUAUGUAAAAAUUCUCUGUUGGUUGCCUUACCUACCCCAUCUCAUCCUAAGCAUCAUCCUCCAGAACAGAGACUAUUUUCACCAUCUCAUAAAGGCACCUGCAGUCAGCUUUGUCUACCUCCAAUUUGCCAGAGCCUAAAAAUGUACCUGAUACUCCUAUCAGGAUGUACUCAAUAAAUGUUCCUGGAAUGAAUCCAUUAAUGAAUGAAUGAUGUUAGUAGUUUAAGUACCUAUGGUCACGUGAGCUCAGGUCCAUCUACCUCCACCAUUCAUUCUUUUAUCAACAUGCCGUGGUGAAAGUAUGAGGUUCAAAAUAGUUACAGGACAAAAUCACAUAAUAUCGUUCUCAGGAAAUGCAACCUCGCAAUGUACAGCAAUUUAUUCAUAUUAUUUAGAUGCUGUGUCACAUUUAAAUACCUUCGCAAGACUGAUAAAACUAUAGUGGAAGGAAGAGUGGACAAAAGACAAGGAAAGAAACAUGCUAAGAAUUUAACAGAGCAGUUGUCUACAGUGGGAACUUCAGGCAGGGGUGAGUGAAAAUAAGAUGAUCCGGGAGCCAGGGAAGCUCAUUGAGUGAGUGAAGUUCUAGAAGCAUAUACUUAAAAGUUUUACUUGAGCCAAAUUAUUCAAGAGGAAGAUGUACAAGAACUUUCCAGGUGUUACAAUUGUCCCAUAUGAAAAGAUGCAGCUCUAUAUGAGGGUGGUUGAGGGAGCCAUUGGUGCCUUUGUAGGAAAACGAAAAUGGAACGCCAGACCCAACUGUGACCAACAGCUCUAGGUUCUUGCAGUCUCCAUCACUGGCCAGUUCCAUAUCCCUAAUUCUUGCCCUCUCUUCACAGGGCUUCACAUGACUAGGGUAUUUGAUAUUUGGUAACAGGCAUGCUCCCAUGAAAUAUGAAGUCCUGGAAAGAGCCAGAUUAGUAGAGAGAAAAAGACAUCAUAUACAGUCAUUUUCUGGCAGAUCUCAUCCCUUGGUCCCCAGGUCUUUCCACCCUUUUCCACUCUGCUGACUGCCCUGAGGCUCAACUGUAUAUAUUACAAUGAGCCGCCCCUUGCUCCAUGGCUUCCACUUGUGUUUGGCAGAUGGGGAGCCCUGGCAGGAAGCAAGAGUUGGUGGGGGAGGAGACUGGGUCCUGGGUAUUUAUUCUGGAUUUCUCUUCACAGGGUUCCCUCUAGAUGGUGUGUCCCACAUCCAACAGUCAUUGGUCCCCUUGAAGUGGUCUGUUCUACACAACUUCUCCCUUGCUUUAGGGAAACUCUAUCCCUGCCCCACACCCCAGUCCCUUAAUCUCUGUGGACACAGAAAUGCAAAGAUUGGGAUCCCUGGGUGGCGCAGCGGUUUGGCGCCUGCCUUUGGCCCAGGGCACGAUCCUGGAGACCCGGGAUCAAAUCCCACGUCGGGCUCCCGGUGCAUGGAGCUUGCUUCUCCCUCUGCCUAUGUCUCUGCCUCUCUCUCUCUCUCUGUGUGACUAUCAUAAAUAAAUAAAUAAAUAAAUAAAUGCAAAGAUUGUGGCUGCUUACAGCCCUGAAACUCUGGAUUAUCCACAGAUCUUCUAGCCUAUAUCUCUAUAGUAAAUCAUUUUAUAAAUAAAUUCACCUUGAAUUAUUUUGAGAGCACAAUCUCCUUCAUAUCUUUCACACUGGAACGUUGCAUAAGUUUAUUCAUUCAUUCAGCUACUAUAUAUAUAUAUAUACACACACACACACACACACACACACACAUAAUAAUCACACACACAGGGAUCCCUGGGUGGUGCAGCAGUUUGGCGCCUGCCUUUGGCCCAGGGCGUGAUCCUGGAGACCCGGGAUCAAAUCCCACGUUGGGCUCCCGGUGCAUGGAGCCUGCUUCUCCCUC
rnacentral:lncRNA from 1 species